rnacentral:lncRNA from 1 species
GUGAGCGGUCUGUGGCCCUGGGCACCUCCAUCCGCCGCGGCGCCCCUCCACCAUCUACCUUCCGCCUGACUGGGGCUUGCCUUUCCGGGCUGGCGGGUGCCACUUCGGAUAAACCCUUUGGACUCCUAACUCCAAUCAGGUGUCUGCUUUGUUGAGGACUCACAGACACAGUCUCCUUUCUUCAAGAUCUUUACAAUGCAAGACCUCACUAACACACAGGGAUGGUCUCCCAGAGGGUCUGUGCUGUUCCUUCACUCAGAACAUCAAGAUGCACUGAAGUAAGGAUCCUCUAUUCUACAGUUCCUGCUAGCUGAGCUAUUCCAUGGGGGCUUCAGCAGGAAAUUCCAAGGUUGGCUUUGACAAGCUAAGGCCGGCUGGUGGAGCACAUCGAGUUCUGGAGGUUCAUGUGUGUUUUCAUGAAGAUCUGUCUGCCCGUAGCAGAUAAAGAGUUGUUGCCCCACUCCUCCUGGGGUCUUCUAUUUUCCUGGGAGGAAUUUCUGGAUUAACUGAACACACACACACACACACACACCCUUUUGAAGCAUCAACAGUAAUUCUGAGUUCUUAGGGACAAUGCAGAUUAAAUCCACAAUAAGAAAGACAACUAUGGCCAGGUGUGGUGGCUCACGCCUGUAAUCCCAGAACUUUGGGAGGCUGAGGCGGAUGGAUCACCUGAGGUCAGGAGUUAGAGACCAACCUGACCAACAUGGAGAAACCCCGUUUCUACUAAAAAUGCAAAAUUAGCCGGGCAUGGUGGCAGGCGCCUGUAAUCCCAAAUACUCGGGAGGCUGAGGCAGGAGAAUCACUUAAACCCGGGAGGCAGAGGUUGCAGUGAGCCAAGAUCGCGCCAUUGCACUCCAGCCUGGGCAAGAAGAGCAAAACUCCAUCUCAAAAAAAAAAAAAGAGUACUAUUGAUCCAGAGGUGACCAGACUAGCCUCACUGGAGAUAAUAGGUGACAUUAUUAUGCAAAGUGGUUUCAGUUCCCUUGUCUUGUUUUUGGAAUAGUAUAAGAGGCCUACAAUACGAAUAAAUAAGGCCCAUCACAAGCCUCACCAAAGGACAAAACUAAUCCACUUCUGAAGAAGGCUCUUUGUUGGGCCAGAUCAAAUCCUUGGACAGAACUGUACUCUUAAUCUCUGUAGUGAAAGUGGGGGGUAGUUUAAGAAUUUAUUAACCUUCUACCUUGAGCAAUCCCUCAGAAGUAAGAGGUGUCAGGCCUCUGAGCCGAAGCUCAGCCAUUGUAACCCCUGUGACCUGCACAUAUAUGUCCAGAUGGCCUGCAGGAGCCAAGAAGUCUGGGGCAGCUGAAAAACCACACAAGAAGUAAAACAGCCAGUUCCUGCCUUAACUGAUUAACCAACAUUACAACAUUCCACCAUUGUGACCUGUCCCUGUCCUACCUUAACUGAUCAAUCGACCUUGUGACAGUCUUCUUCUGGACAAUGGGUCUUAUCAUCUCCCCACCAUGUACCUUGUGACCCCCUCCUCUGCUAACAAUAGAUAACCACUUUUUACUGUAAUUUUCCAUUACCUACCCAACUCCUAUAAAGCAACCCCUUCCCCAUCUCCCUUCACUGACUCUGUUUUCAGACUCAGCCCACUUGCACUCAAGUGAAUAAACAGCCUUGUUGCUCACACAAAGCCUGUUGGUGGUCUCUUCACACAGAUGUGCUUGACAAAAGGGAAGGGUGGAUUUGUCCUUCUGGUUACAUAUGUUCUGCUCACUCAUUUUGAAUUUAAUUAAACAAGGAUUGCCCUUACCUUUUCAUACUUUGUAAGAAACCAUAAAUACUUAUGCACCAUGAUUUUUUUAAAGAAACACUUUUUAUUUUGAAGUAAUUAUAGUCUCAUAGGAAGUUGCAAAAGUAGUACAUAGAGUCCCUGAGUACUCUUCCCCCAGUGGUGACAACUGUAGUAUAAUAUCAAUUCUGGGAAAUUGACAUUGGUACAAUACCAAAUAUACUAUGCCUUUUUCUCUAAGGCAUGAUGUUGCAGUAGCAUCCUUGUACAUGUAGCUAGGAGAACUUGUACUAAGCCCAGAUAAAUAGUUGAAGUACAAGGGCAAGGAGUGUGUCUUUGAUAUUUUAAUAGAAAUCACCUAUUGCCCUCUAGAAAAGCUGUACCCUUUUCCAGUGGCAGAGAACCUUCCUGAAAGGCAGUCCUGUGUAAUGGUGUCCAUUUCAUCACACCCUUAAAACACUCAGCUUUAACAAACAUGCAGAUUUUUGCUGAUGUGGGAGAAAAUAUUAAUUAUUAAUGAUAUUAAGGUGAUUAUCUUUUCGUAUGUUUAUAGAUAUUUGUAUUUCUUUUUAAAUGAACUGCUCAUGACCUUUGUCUACUUUUAUUUGGGUUUACUUCUUUCUCAUUUAUUCCUAUAAACUCUUUAUAAAAGGAAAUUAACCAUUUGAUUGUCAUAUGUUGUGAAUAUUUUUACCAUUUUGACUUUUGAAUUUAUGUCUUUUUAAUGAAUUGUAGAAGUUUAAAAUCUUUAUGGAAUAAAUUUAUUUAGUUUUUUGUUU